GUUCAUCUUGUCCGUCAGAGUUCCAGCAUAUAUUUCUUGUGUUUGCCUGAGUGUUUUGACCUCCUUUAGUAUUGUUUGGCUUAGCCUCUUGCCUGCCAAUUUGGAUACCUCUGCCUUGCCUUUUUGGAGUCCGAGUCAUUUUUGAUUUUGCCAGCUUGUGAGUCUGCAUUUGGGUCCUCUUUGGUUCAGUGUUACACUUUAUGUCUGUCUGUCUGUCUGUCUGUCUGUCUGUCUGUCUGUUAUCUAUCUAUCUAUCUAUCUAUCUAUCUAUCUAUCUAUCUAUCUAUCUAUCUAUCUAUCUAUCUAUCUAUCUAUCUAUCUAUCUAUCUAGCUAUCUAUCUAUCUAGCUAUCUAUCUAUCUAUCUAUCUAUCUAACAAACAAGAUUUCAUCACCUUCAUUCCCACAUCUUCUCGCUGAUCAUCUGUUGGGUACAUGAUUGAAUUUAAACUUCUGCAUGUCCCCUUUAAAGCACCACACAGACUUGCCCCCACCUACUGUUCAUUCAGGUAUAAUCUUCCUCUCAGCUCAGACAGCCCGCCUUGUCACUAAAGGUGACAGGGCGCUUUCUGUAAGAGACCCCGUACUUGGAAAGUCCCUACCUGAGGACAUGAGGUUUGUUUAAUUAGUACUUUCUUUAUACACUUCUUAAAACCUGCUUUUAUGGAAAGCCUUGCUUGUGUGGGUGAUUUUAAUUUUUUACUUUUUAUGUUUUAUUAUUUAUGGUGCGGCGGAUGCUUAGACUUUAGUUGAUGCCUGGAGUUUGUAUUAUGUUCUGCAGGACAAUGUUAAAGUCAAGUGGCUCCUUGUGCUUCUGUUUGAGUUUUCCAAGGUGAAUGUCAAUAAAACCAAACCUUUUCGGGUAAGAUUUCAAAGCUUAAAACCAGCUUAGAUGAAAGGGGUUUUAGUCAGUUCAUGUAAGAUGUGGUUUUGAUGGCUUUGGAUGGCAUUCUGCAGCAAAGCAAUGUAUGCUCGUUCUACCCCUUGUUCAUUUUAGUGACUUAUUUACUUACCAGUACAUUCAUAAACGCAAGAGUCCGUUCAACUUUUACAAGCAUUUCCUUUUCUUAAUUCUCUUUCUGUGGUUUGAUUUUCUUGCAUCUUUCCAGCAGAGCUUUGAAAGUGCAUCCUCAUUGAAGUUUUGAUCCUCAAAUAUGAAGGAUGAGCAAGAUGUCUAAGAGAGCAAUAUUCCCACAAACUCACUCACAUUUUCAUCUCCACCUCCGGUCAGCACAUCCUUUGAAUCUCAAACCUGAUCUUCUCUCCUCACCCCAUAAUCUCAUCUUUGUCCAUCGCUUCCUGCCUCCUCACCUCAUCCUGUUUCCUUUAAGCCGAGAACAUCUCAGCCUUUGCUUUGAAAUCAGGAAAUGAAAGAAAGUCUCAGUAUUUUGGCAGAGUGAGGGAGGAACCAUUCUUCCAUAAACACCGUACGAUAAAGGUUACCAAGCCACAGCCAGAGAUAGAGCGCCACUGUUUCCAAGAAAGGGCUUACUCCCAUUGGUGGAUGGCUUUUUCCCAUUGAGUAAAGCUCCUGGAGAAUGAUAUGGCUUGUCUGUGUUGACAGGCUUGAGAUAAGGAAGUGCCCUCAGGUAUUAGUUGUCAUUCCUUUUCACCAGGAAAAGCAGCUGAGAGUAGCUACCUUAUUUCUUUUUCUUUCCCCUUUCCUCCUCUUUUGGAUGAAUAGAGGAAAAAUUCACAACAACAAAGCCUUCCACUCUCAUUAAAUCAGCCGCAAAGCCAAGCACCACCAAGGAGCACAAUAUCUGAGGCAGAUGAGUAAUCCCCCUGCUCAAUCUACAAGCUGGCACAGAAUUUCAAAUGUCCGUAAUAACUGCCGGAGAAGGAAGUGAAGGGCACACACAAACAACCUGUACGCACACGCAUCCAUGUACUGUACUGUGAUGAAAAUGAAUCUGUUAAUGACCAUUAGGCCACAGCAGUGCAGUGCUGAAAUGUCCUCCAGGUUGAAAUGCCACUCUGUGACUGGGUGUGAUUAUUUGUGAGUUGCAAGUAGGAAGAAAUAGGGUAACACUUUACUUAACCAUAAUUUAUGAAUGGUAAAUAGAUAGUUUAUUAAUGUUUAAACAUCAUUUAAAAACAGCAUAUAGACCAAUUAUAAAUGGCACAUAGAUGGUUUAUUAAUGUAAGUUAAUAGUUACUUUACCAUUAACAAACAAUGAAAUUAUGAUUAUUAAUGGACUAUUUAUUAAAGGUGUAUAUAUAGGGUUUAAAUAUUGGUUGUAAAACAUCUAGAUUAAAAUGUGUGUCGGCAGCACUUUGUUAAUGGUUAAUAUUUGGUUUUUAAUGGUCUAUAUGCUAUUUUUAAAUGAUGAUUAAACAUUAAUAAACUAUCUGCUUACCAUUUAUAAAUGAUCUAUUUACCAUUUAUAAUUUAUGGUUAUUGUAAAGUGUUACCAAAAAUAGUACUUUCUGACUGACUUGAGCGUAUUUCAACAGCCAAUAAUUGGAUGAAGUUUAGUCUCCAAUUAAAUUUUACAGUUUUUUUCUGAAGUCUUUUCUUGUUAGGGAUGUGUUUUUUAAAGAACAAAAUCCACCAUACUCAAGGUCAUAUAUGAUAUAAAUACAUAGUUUUUUUUUUAAAUUAGGUCCAAACUGUAAAAAAUAAAAAUAUAAAAGUAUUUAAAUUUGUUUUAAAAAAUGUCACACCUUCCAAAAAAUCAGGAAACCUAAGCCAAGAUGUAAAUGCAAUGGUCUAAUUUAAUUUAGUGAAAUAUUAAUGAAAAGUUCAAAAUUCAGUCAAAGACAGAUGUCAAAGUCUCUCCUCUUGGACAUCUGUUUACCUGUGAGUUAGUGUGUUUACAUGUUUAUACAAAAGUGUUUUUUUUUUGCCUUGAGCCAACUGAAAUCAGACUUUUGCAAAACAUAUUGAUGCAUUUAUCAAACUGAACUUCUCAUAGUCGGACUGACAUACUGGGAUUGAUUUUCUCUUUCAUGUAUCUGACUCAACUGAACCGAAACGAGACUAAACCAUCAGUGCAUGCUCCAGUGUUUGCAUGCUAGAAAUGAAGCACAGAGCACAGAGAUGUUAUUAGGAAGCAGCGUAGUUAACAAAACCUCACAAGAUGACAAAGGAUUUGUUAAAAACGAAGAAGAAAAAAUGGUACAGAGCUGUAAAAGUGACAUACUUUAGCUUUUAAUCAAUUGUUUUGAUAAGUAGUAGGUCAAGCAAGAGGCAACCCAACAGUAACAAGCUGAGAAGAGCAUGUCACCACCUUCUAUAAUGGAGGCAGACAUGCUUGUUUGCAGCUUGGGACAAUGACAAUAGCUUAAUGGAGGUUCGACUGAAAUGUUCACGUUAACUUGUUUCAUGCAUAGACAUUGUACACGUAGAUGCCUCAUUACGUGCUGGAGCCUAAUCCAGUGUCACCGUCAUACUGGAUGGGUCUCCCCACUCUUGGCUCGCUCAAGAGCCAAACAGGGUCAAUGGAGAACGAGCAACUAUGCCAGUUUUUUUGCACUCUAUGGUUGAAAAACCCGACGCAGUAUUGAAACCAGACCAUGUAGGAUUACAUUUCACAAACAGGAUUGAAAAAUAAUUUGUUUUAUUUUUAAUGUGCGACAUUGUCCUGUAUUAUUGCUACAUCCCUGCUGUUGUAACAAACCGAACAGUUUGGAAAUGGGGCAGAGAUUCAGAGAGUUAUUAUCUAUAUGGUUGGGCAUUCCUCCCUAUCUUAAUGCACUGGAGGCGCAUGGGGGCCCAUCCAAGAUGGCGGCCGCGCUGAUAUGUUAGCUCCAAUAGGCAGCGUCAGGCUUUGAGGCGUCUACGUAUAUUAUGUCUAUGAUUUCAUGUGUAUUCGUUUCUCUGUCAUUGGUGUGUUGGUGUUCCUCUUGCCCUCUGUAUUCACCAGUCAGUUCACCCAUUUCCUGCCUUUCUAACUUAAAUUAACAUAGCUGUUGCCCACCUGCCACUAUGAGUUUAAUCAGUUUUCUUAGUCCUAAAGACCUCCAUUUCCCACCACCUUUAAGCCUAUUAGUCAACCACUGCCCCACAGAGCACUACCUAAUCAGUCAUGCUCCCUUGCCAUACUUUUUGAACGGUACACACCUCUCAAUCCCUGCCCAUAUCUGAGUCUGAAUCUGUGUUCAGCUGUUCUUUGUGUAAACAGUUCAACAUCAACUCAAGUCUUUCAACAACACGAGAAUACUACACUUAUAAAACCAGAACAGGUUUGCAAGAGGCCCUCUCUGUAAUGAGAUCCAGAUUGAGCUCUAAGGCACAAGCAGCCCUCUUUUAAACCAUGUGGUUACUGGGCUACUUCUAGGUCACAAUUACAUGAGCUUUUACAAAAACAUAUUAUUGACAAAUAUCAACCCAACCUUUAAAAUAAAACAUGGAACUACCCUAAAAUUUAAGAAAACAAAAAAAUAGAAAGAUAUCACCAAAUAAGAUGCCUCAACUUUAAUUUUGGCCAUUCAGUAACAUUAACUUUGAGGUAAAUUAUCACUUUGAAUACCUUGUACUUUUUUAUCCCUGCAGACUGUAGCUGCAGCCAGCAGAGAUAAAUAUACCUAUCACUUUACCUCCACAACUUCACUGAGUGCAGCAAAACAUUUUGAGCUUUCUUUUGCAUAUUCAGCAGCAGCAAAAGUAGAAGCAGGUAGCUGUUGCUGGUCAGAAAGCGAGGCUAUUGGUAAAACCAUUUAGCUCCUGCCCACUUGGAAAUAUGGAGCUGAAAUGCAGCGAUGAGUCAGCUCUUUUUACUGAGAGGAUGAAUCAUUCAUCAUGGCCGCCAGCGGGGUCCUGGACCGGGAUUGAGGGUUGGAGGGGUGGAGGGGUUGAGGGGGAGGUCGAUGAGGACCUGAUGGCAAGUUCCUCUGCUGACUCCACAUAUAGAGUAUGAAGCUGUAGAGGCUCCUGGUGCAGUUCCUCUGGAUUGUAUGGGGAUAAAGGGAUAUGAAAGAAGGGAGGCCGAGCAGCAAAAUUCUGGUCAGGAUUUACUGAAAGCUUUGUGUACAGUUUGAACUGUAAAUUGAAAAGGAAUUCCACUCCCUAUUGUGGCUCCUUUUAAUGGUUUAGGUUGGGAAUUCUCAACUCUGAUGGGUUUAUUAUUAUAUUAUUCAAGACAACUAAAUGACUCAGCUUUGGAAAGCCCCUUUCACUCCAAAGUAAGAAAUAAUACAAAAUUGUUAAUAAUGGAGGAUUCUCCUAAACCCUGAAUUAUUUCUUAAAUCCCAGACUGUGUGUAGGAUGUGGGUGUAGCCUCUUCUUUCUAACAAAGUAAGCAGAAUCUUCUUUCUCAAAGUCAGCUUCAAAGACAUGUUCAAUUGUACUUUAAAGUGAGCCUACACCUCACUUAUUUAUUCCAUCAAUAAUCCCUCUCCAUAUGACUUUUUGGCCUCUAGGGCUGGUUUCAUGUCUUUGCCAAUACAGCAUAUAAUUCAUUGUGAAGGCCAACCUUCAAUAAGAUGGCCACAUCUGAAAUGUUAACUCAAUGCUUCAAAGCAAGUAGUCCAUAAAACUCUAGGUAAUGUCACAGUGAAUAGAUUCACAUCCUGUAAUCUACGGUUGGCUUUCAAUGGUUUGUUAAAGGUUGAGCAAGACUGGUUUAGCCAAAUAAACCAAAGUAUUCCUGUGGGAUGGUCAUAAAACUUGGUGAGGAUGCAAACUCUGGGCUUCAUAACAAGAUACAGGUCUUUAGUCAGCCAGGACAGCCAUAUAUGAUUGCUUUUCUGAUGGUUAAAUACACCUGGAAACCUUUCUUGUUCUACUUUUCCAGUACCUUCUUGAUUGAAAAAAAUGUUGAAUUUCACAAAAACUAGCAAUCCGGCAUUGGCACCUACUCUACUAUUGGGAACUAUGCUCAAUUUCUAUAUUCCCACUCUUUCAGUCUUUUUUUUAAACUGUGGCUGGGCACCAAAAGACACCUUGAAUUUCUUCCAGGUGAUACAGUAUUCACAAUUUUUUAAUCAUGUGUAACAUCCAGUUUGACUUUGGCACAAGCUGUAGAUCUAGAGGAUGUAGAAUAACUCGAAUAUGAACAAAUUCACAGGAAUCCCACAGUGCCAAGAACUUAUCUGUCUUUUGACCUUGACCCAUAUUCAUACAGUCAAAGUAAACAGGAAGACCAGACGUUGGCCAGACACUUUUUUAACCCUAAAAACACCGUCUGUACCUCAGUACAGGGGUUAAUCCUUCAAGAACCGGUAUCCGUUGCCUGGUCUGUGGAGGAUUUCCUGUUUAUAUCACCAGUCUGCCGUGUUAUUUGCACUGGUGCGCAUUGAAUCUCAGGAUAUGUUGGACCUGAUGCAUCCUUUAUGGCUCAGGAUUGGUAGGAUGCAUUCGCCAAUUGCGUUUGAAGGAGCCUUCAAAAUUGUGACAUCCCACUUUGAUGCAAUUGGUCUCCAGAUGUGCCUCUCUGAGGAUAAAGCCCUUGAAUUAGGACAUAGCUACAGUCCAGCCUCUCUAAUGCUCAUGUGGCAGGAAGUCAGCGAAUUCCAACAGCCAGCUUCUGAAAUCUUGUUGAAAGUCUUCUCGUAUGGUUGUCAUGUUUGGGUGGACACGUCAAUGUUGCAGCUUAAAGGCGCACAAAACAAGUUUACUGUUUUUAGUCACUUCACAUCACUCACACAUCAGUAAUCAAUGAGCUGAUUACCCAUGGGUUGGUACUGUAAAUCCUUCAGUCCUGUAAUUCAACAAAAGUAAAAGGGCAUUCCAGUUCAUCUCUUCACUGAGAUAAAAGAUUAUGUGCAAUAAGCGAUGCAUUUCUGUUAACUAUGUUUUGAAGAGUCUUCUGAUUGUCUUCUGAUGAACAUGGCUGCUAUAAUCAAUCAGCGCUGUCAUAUCAGAGUCCGAUGAGAAAGAGAGAGAGAGCUCAGUGAUAUCCUGGUAGGACAGCCUCACCCAGAGGGCCAGGGAGAAAACGAAAGGGGAAGCAAACGGGCAGAGAAAAGGAGAGGAACGCAGAAGAAAGACGAGCCUGGAACAUGGCAUAUUAGAGAAUAUAAGCGGAGCAAAAGAGAGCGGAGUGUAGCUCAGGAGAGGCAUCAAGUGACCCCCUCCUUCCCCAUUGUUGAGGAACACAAGAGCUGGGCUGGCUUGAGGCCACCAAAGGGGUAGAAUACAUUAGAAACCAGCUGGAAAGUGCAAGGAAAAAAAGAAUGAGGUAGAGGUAGAGUAGCUGGAGCUUUUCAUGUUGUAGAGAGAGCAAACAUCAACACUAGCUGAACUAAGAUUGCUUUAUACACGGGGUGUCUGAAUUAGCUGUGCAAAUGUUUCACAGGUUAGGAUAAUUGUGAACAGGUUAGAAGUUUUUGUUGCAGUAAGAGAUGGAGUGUCUCUGCAGGGAGAGUUGUGCAGGAAGGAACUGGAUGAUGAGGAGGAAGGGCUGGAUUUGGUGGGAUGACGAGAAAAAGAGGACAAAAUAAAACAUGAAGAGAAAUGACCGGUGACUGGACACGAACUCUUAACCAUUCCAAAUAUGGCUGUUGCAAUUUGCCACUAUUGAUAAUAACAGUCUUUUUAGAGGCAAAGUCAUUGUGCUGAAAUAAACAAAUAAUCAUACUGUGUAACUAAAAGCUUCACGUGGGGGUGGGUCACAUGCUAGUUACUGAUGUAUCAUACACCAGUGAGUGACUUCUGAGGUCAUAAGCAUGAAGGAUAACCCAGACAUUAAAGCUCCUGUGAGGAUCUUUUGGUUUGUGUCAGUUUUGGUGCCCCCUGUGGACUACACAGUCUUUGCCUAGCUAGUCCUUUGCAUAGUGACGUAAACUCUUCUUACAAAAAUAUCUAAUCCUGCUGACUUUAGACAGUCAACAUCCCCUCGCACUGGUUUUAAGGCUUAAAAAUGACCACAUGUUACUUAAUCUUGUUGCUUAUUGGUCUUGUUUGCUUUAUUUCCUCAGCUGUUAAAACACUCCAUAAUCAUUCCAAUCCCAAAGAGGAGUACCACCAAACCAUUCAAUGACCUCAGACCUCCCACCUCCCUCCUGAUGAAGUCAAUGGUGAGGAUUACAAAACAACUAACUCACUGAUGGAUCCUCUCCAGUCUGCGUAACGCACAUGUAGGGGUGUCAGCAAUGCCAAAAUAUACAUCCUAGACACCCUCCACAAACACUCGGACCUCCGCCAGAUUUCGCGUUUGCCAACAUCUCUUCAGCAUUCAGCACCCUUCAGUUCCAAAUCCUGGCCAACAACCUCUCCUCUUCCACCUGGACAACCAGCUCAUCCUGUGGCUCCGAUUUCCUCACCCACAGGUCACAGAAAGUGUACGUCAACAACAUUUUCUCUGACAUACGACACACCUCAACCAUGCUGAUGACCCAGUUCUCCUGUCUCUGCUGUCAGACUCUUCACAGCCCCAUGGACCAGCCCUCCAGGAGCUUGUAGACCGGUAUGACAACUCAUGUCUGGAGCUGAACGUCAGCAAAACCAAAGAGAUAGUAGUGACCUUUUCCAACAAGCAGCGGGAGCUUGCUGCAGCAGUCACUUCCGCAAUUCACGGUGAGCUAGCAGAGCAUGUUGAGGAAUACAAAUACGAAGGCACCACCUUAAUAGUCGGCUGAAGUUCUCCUCCAACACUGAGAAGAUCCUUAAGAAAAGCCAGCAGAGACAGUAUCUCAGAAAGUAUCACCACCUUCUCAAUGAUCAGCUAGUUUCAAUCAAUCAGCCUUCAGGACAGAAACCGCCAGCAGAAAACUGCGACUGUCUGCUCUAAAAUAAUUGGCACACCUCUCAGAUCUUAGCCAGCAGGUCAAUUUUUA
rnacentral:lncRNA from 1 species